UACGAAGGGGGCUAGCGUUGUUCGGAAUUACUGGGCGUAAAGGGCGCGUAGGCGGUGUGUCAAGUCAGGCGUGAAAGCCCCCGGGCUCAACCUGGGAACCGCGCUUGAGACUGGCACGCUAGAGUCCGGGAGAGGAUGGUGGAAUUCCCAGUGUAGAGGUGAAAUUCGUAGAUAUUGGGAAGAACACCGAUGGCGAAGGCAGCCAUCUGGACCGGCACUGACGCUGAGAAGCGAAAGCGUGGGGAGCGAACAGG
rnacentral:rRNA from 1 species